CAAAGAAUAAGGGUGUUGUACUACAGUCUAGUAGGUGGCGGUAAUGCAACAAAUUGGAUGCAAACCGCCGUUAAACCUCAGAAGAAGAAGAAAUUGUGCCUUUGCACACGUUCUGAACGUCUGUGUAGUAACAGGUACAUUUCAUGUGUCUGAAAGUACCACAUUGUAGCACAUUGAGUUUGACUUCCGGCCUGUUGCGAUGAAUCGCUUUCCCAGGAAUCUCCAAAUACUAUGUUGAAUGAGCACCGCGGAUGAAAGAGGGAGAGGAAAACAGAAAGCUUCUUUCUACCACACCUUCACCAAGUUACAUACAAUGUUUGCUUCAUGAACAAUUGUUACAUCAGAAAUAAAUACAAAAUCAUUUUA